rnacentral:rRNA from 1 species
AGUGAACGCUGGCGGUAGGCCUAACACAUGCAAGUCGAACGGCAGCACAGUAAGAGCUUGCUCUUACGGGUGGCGAGUGGCGGACGGGUGAGGAAUACAUCGGAAUCUACUUUUUCGUGGGGGAUAACGUAGGGAAACUUACGCUCAUACCGCAUACGACCUACGGGUGAAAGCAGGGGAUCUUCGGACCUUGCGCGAUUGAAUGAGCCGAUGUCGGAUUAGCUAGUUGGCGGGGUAAAGGCCCACCAAGGCGACGAUCCGUAGCUGGUCUGAGAGGAGGAUCAGCGACACUGGAACUGAGACACGGUCCAGACUCCUACGGGAGGCAGCAGUGGGGAAUAUUGGACAAUGGGCGCAAGCCUGAUCCAGCCAUACCGCGUGGGUGAAGAAGGCCUUCGGGUUGUAAAGCCCUUCUGUUGGGAAAGAAAAGCAGCAGGUUAAUACCCCGCUGUUCUGACGGUACCCAAAGAAUAAGCACCGGCUAACUUCGUG